rnacentral:rRNA from 1 species
ACGGACGCUGGCGGCGUGCUUAACACAUGCAAGUCGAACGGAAAGGCCCCAGCUUGCUGGGGUACUCGAGUGGCGAACGGGUGAGUAACACGUGGGUGAUCUGCCCCGCACUCUGGGAUAAGCCUGGGAAACUGGGUCUAAUACCGGAUAGGACCGUGCUUUAGUGUGUGCGGUGGAAAGUUUUUCGGUGCAGGAUGAGCCCGCGGCCUAUCAGCUUGUUGGUGGGGUAAUGGCCUACCAAGGCGGCGACGGGUAGCCGGCCUGAGAGGGUGUACGGCCACAUUGGGACUGAGACACGGCCCAGACUCCUACGGGAGGCAGCAGUGGGGAAUAUUGCACAAUGGGCGCAGGCCUGAUGCAGCGACGCCGCGUGGGGGAUGACGGCCUUCGGGUUGUAAACCCCUUUCGGCAGGGACGAAGCUUUUGUGACGGUACCUGCAUAAGAAGCACCGGCUAACUACGUG